rnacentral:rRNA from 1 species
CCCACCCGUGUUUAUUUUACCUUGUUGCUUCGGCGGGCCCGCCUUAACUGGCCGCCGGGGGGCUUACGCCCCCGGGCCCGCGCCCGCCGAAGACACCCUCGAACUCUGUCUGAAGAUUGUAGUCUGAGUGAAAAUAUAAAUUAUUUAAAACUUUCAACAACGGAUCUCUUGGUUCCGGCAUCGAUGAAGAACGCAGCGAAAUGCGAUACGUAAUGUGAAUUGCAAAUUCAGUGAAUCAUCGAGUCUUUGAACGCACAUUGCGCCCCCUGGUAUUCCGGGGGGCAUGCCUGUCCGAGCGUCAUUGCUGCCCUCAAGCACGGCUUGUGUGUUGGGCCCCGUCCUCCGAUCCCGGGGGACGGGCCCGAAAGGCAGCGGCGGCACCGCGUCCGGUCCUCGAGCGUAUGGGGCUUUGUCACCCGCUCUGUAGGCCCGGCCGGCGCUUGCCGAUCAACCCAAAUUUUUAUCCAGGUUGACCUCGGAUCAGGUAGGGAUACCCGCUGAACUUAAGCAUAUCAAUA